CAGGAGGUCUACAGUCCUGCCCUGUUUACUCACCCUGAAAACUCUUCGUUUUGAGACGUUUUGAGAUCAUGAUGGCAGACACGGCACAAACCCUCUCGCUCAUGACUAUGAGGAGGUGAGAGGCUGGGGGACAUAUGAGGACCUGCGGGGCUACUCACUGCUGCCCCCUGCAGCCCAAUUUCAUCCACUAGCACCAGUAUCCACCUACCAUGAGGUGUGUGUGUGAACCAACAUGCAGUUGGAUCUAUCUAGAAAGGGAAGAGCGUACAGUAAAGCUGAUGUGGACGUAACAGCAGGAGUUUAUGAUUCUAUGGUGUACAGACGCAGAAGAGACACAGACUUGCCAUUUGAGCUCAGAGGGGAGCUGGUUUCAUAAAAGUGAGGCUGGAUACUUGACAACCAAAAAGACAUCUCUACACAGGCUGAACACCUCAGAAGAUUUCAAUCAGGUAAUUACCUCUAAAACAUGCAAUAAUAAUCCAGGCAUGUGUUUCAGCCAAAUUGGUGUAAUCAAAGACUCAUCUGGAGCGGUGUUUUCUUUCGCACUUCUCCCAUCAAAAGCAGUCUGAUUCGUGCAUUGUAUCCAUUUGUAAUGUUUUUCUUUAAUUAUAUUUAUUAUAUUAAUAUGAAAAGUCUUAUUGAUUAUAUUGAUUCACUGAUAUUCUGUCAGAGCUUUCAAGAAGCAGCAAAUAAUAAUUCAUCCAGAAAUUAAAAUUAAUGUAAUUUAUAUUAAAUUCUAUGGCAGCCCAUUUUUGCCACAGGAAAAAAAUAAAUAAAAAAAAUAAAAGGGGUUAGUCUUGUGAAUGAAUCGACUGAUCCAGUGCAUAAACCUGAUCUGAAUAAAAUUACAUGAGUAUUUAAUGACAGAAUUUUUAUUUCUGCAUGAACUACUGCUUUAAAGAAAAGACUUUUCACUCAAAGGAA
rnacentral:lncRNA from 1 species